AGCUCACUGGCCAAGUUCAGGGACGACACCAAGUUACGGUGAAGCGUGGUCACACUUGAAGGUAGGCUACAGUUACAGGCAGAUCUAGACAGGCUGGCAAGUUGGCAGACGGGAAUCUGGUGAAAUUGAACGUUGAGAAAUGUCAAGUGUUCUACUUUGGGAUGAGCAACCCCAACACACCUACGGGCUUGGUGGCGCCAAACUGACCAGCACCACAAAUGAAAGGGACCUGGGGGUAAUAACAGACCACAGGAUGAACAUGAGCCGGCAGUGCAAUGCUGUAGCCAGUAGGGCAAAUAAUACUCUGGCGUGCAUCAACCCACGCGUCUUCAGCAAAACCAGGGAGGCGAUUCUGCUCUACUCAGCACUGGUGAGACCGCAGCUGGAGCGCUGCGUCCAGGUCUGGGCACCGCACUUCAACGAGGUCAUGGACAAGCUUGAGACACUCCAGAGAAGAGCCGCCUGUAUGAUCAGAGUCUUACACGGCAAGUCAUAUGAGGAAAGGCUGAAGGAUCUCGGACUCUUCUGCCAGAGGAAAAGAGAUGGCUGAGAGGGGACCUAGUAGCAGGUUACGGCUACACUAGGGAAUAUAUCAGGGGCUCGGUGAGUAACUGUUCACCAGCGCAGCUGAAGGGAAAACCAGGAGUAAUGGCCACAAACUCCUGGAAGAUUGAUUCUGGCUCAACAUCAAGAAAAACUUCACAGCUAGGGUGUCCAGACUGGAAUAAGCUCCCUCCAGAGGUGGUGCAAUCACCUACCCUGGACAUCUUCAAGAGGAGACUGGAUGGUCACCUUGGCGGCAGUCGCCUGACCCCCAGUUAUCUUUCCUGCUUGGUGCAGGGGGACUGGACCCAAUGAUCUUGCAAGGUCCCUUCUGGCCUUCCAAUCUAUGAAUCCAUCCCUCCAUCUCCAUACACUUUCUUCCAUCCUUCUAUACAGCUGUUCCCACACACUCUCCCAUCCCUCCCCCCACCAGAAGCCCCCAGGUAGCAGCUGUGCCCCGCCAGCUACACAGGAAGCCAACACCGCCCCCCUGCAAAUGACCAAUGCAGUCAGCUCUGGGGCAGGGCAGCUGGGCAUUGGCCAAAUGUAACAUCACCCUGCCACCAUUCUUUCCUCCCCCCUCCCCCAGCUGAGGGGAAGACUGGAUCUGGACCCAGAGACCUCCUUAUUCGCAGUGCUUCCCCCAACCCAGUGUGGGCUCUUCUGCCCUGGGAGUGUUAUAUUCAACCUGCUCCACCCCAGAGCUGGCUGCAUCUCUGAGUUAAGCCAUACUGCCUGCCUCCCGGGUAGGUGUUCUAUGCAGCCCUCCCAGCUGCUCCACCCCAGAGCUGGCUGCAUCUUCAGGGGCUAGGGUUCAACACCCCUCUGCCCCAUCCUUCAACUCCUGGUUAGACCUAGUAGAGCUCAUCCUCCCCGACCUGGACACCAGCAGAGGUUUCUCACUGGCCCCCAGCAGGCAGGAAGCAGCCCCGCAGAAGGGAGCAGGGCCUGGGCUCCAACCCAGAGCUGCGCAUGGAGACCAUCCUGCUCUUAUGGUUGGGGGGGGGGGAAGGGUACUAUUAUAUGCAGCUGGUUAUGUGUUGUAUGCAGCUAUAUUCCACUCCCAGAGCUGGCUGAAUUGGGCAGCCUAGCCCAGGAGGGUGUUCUGUAUCUCUGUUCCCCAGCUGCUCCACCCCAGAGCUGGCUGGAUCUUGGAACCAAGGCAUCUCUGCACAGCUGGUCUACCCCAAAGCUGGCUGCAUCUCAGCCCUCCCUGCUCUCUGUUCUAUGCUGCCGUUGCACUCCAGAGCAGCUGCCCCACCCCAGAGCUGGCUGCAAUGCAGGCCUGGACCUAUCCAACCCUGUGGAUGUUCUAUGCAGUUCCCAGAUGCUCCACCACAGAGAUGGCUGCAUCUUGGCCCCAAGAUCUCAGCAGAGCUGCUCCACUCAGAGCAGGAUCUGAUGUGUCUAAAUCACCCUGGCCUCCAGCCAGGGUCUUCUGGGUUGGAUCCUGGCCCCUUCCCCUGAUCCAGCUGUUCUCAGCAUCUCUCCUCCCCAGUCCAGCCCCCUUCCUGGAAACCAGAGGCCCACGUCACCUGCACCAUCCGAGUCCCAACCGAAAGCAAAAGGAAAUGGACCUGUGAGUCUGUGCCACAUCUGAUGCUUACGGUUCCCCCUGAGUGCGGACUCCCUUCUUGCCCCGUCUCGUGGUGGCAGGUCACUGAGCCAGAUGUCGCUGCUGCCCGUAGCCAAGCAGCCAACACCACAGACGCGAUCGGCACAGUGCCGUGCCGAGGACUUCUGGGACAAAAAGCAGCGCAAGUGCAAGAGUUGUGCAAAGCAGUAUGCACGCUACCUGCCCUUGAUCGGCCACGAGUUCAACGUGAACUGUGGGCACCGGGACGGGGGGGGCAGGCACAUGCCCCCAACCCGGCCCUGCCCCGCAGGCACCUCCAAUGAUGGGAGCUUCCUCUGGUGCCAGCCCAGG